rnacentral:tRNA from 1 species
GCCUGGCUGGCUCAGUUAGUGGAGCAUGUGACUCUUGAUCUCAGGGUUGUGAGUUCAAGCCCCACCUUGGGCA